UUUCAGCAUAUCUGUCUUUCUUUUUAUGUUUCUUUUGUUUUGUUUUUAGUGAAAAUUUUAAAAAGGUGCAGUGAAAUACUAAAACCUCCAAAUAUCCCUAACUCAUUCUCAAUGCAUACGAAUGUAUAUUUGACUCUGUUCCAUGUGUUACUGCUGUAUAAACGACCAUGUUACAUGGGGAGCAGCAUAUCACCAGAGCAACCGCUGACUGCUGCUAGCUGCAGCUGCUAUUAGCAAGUUAGCUCGCGCAGCUAGCAGUUGUGUUAGCUGAUUGUGCAGGAAGUGUUUGUGUUUUUUACUCUCUGACUUAUCACCUCUUGAGGUACAAAGGGUCAACGAGCUAACUGGUUAGCUAACUUCAACAGAUAUCUUUGCAGCACAGUUUAAUGUCCAAUUGUUGAUUGUUUUAAACUCAAAUUCUUACACCUUGCAUCUUUAAGACACGUGUGUUUGUUGUAUUAAUGACAUAAUUAAUUCAUUUCAUGGAGCUCCACAGUUUCUGGGGGUUAGCAAAGCUGUUAGAAUCAACAGCGGACGAGCAGCGCGCUCCCGCCUGAGGGGGACCGUUGAUGACGGGGGAGCCUUCUGCACCGUAACACCUGUUCCGGUUCAGCCGUUAACACAGCGAGCGCACAUGUCAGCCACGUACAAUGGGAGCUAUUUGAAGGAGGCUGACAUGGUUACGUCAGAGCCCGAGUGCCGCAGUUCCCAUCGCGGGCCUUUGGCUGAAGCUCUGCGUUGUCGUAAUCGAACCUGUGGAGCAUCAGAUGAAAGGCCUCGGAGCUGGAGUGGGGUUGUUGUCUGAAUACUGAGGAUUCACCUUAAAUGUGGAAAAGAGGCGAACAAGAUGGCUUCUUGUAGUUGCACAUA